AGCAGCCGCGGUAAUUCCAGCUCCAAUAGCGUAUAUUAAAGUUGUUGCAGUUAAAAAGCUCGUAGUUGAAUUUCGAGACCGGCUUAUUGGUCGUGCUUUUGUACGUACUGGUAAAUCGGUUUCUCCUUUCUGACGAACUUUAAUGCCAUUAAUUUGGUGUUUUAGGGAAUCAGGACUGUUACUUUGAAAAAAUUAGAGUGUUUAAAGCAGGCUCACGCUUGAAUACAUUAGCAUGGAAUAACGGAAUAGGACGUUUGAUUCUAUUUUGUUGGUUUCUAGGAUCGACGUAAUGGUUAAUAGGGAUAGUUGGGGGCAUUAGUAUUCAAUUGUCAGAGGUGAAAUUCUUGGAUUUAU
rnacentral:rRNA from 1 species